rnacentral:rRNA from 1 species
AGCGAACGCCGGCGGCAGGCUUAACACAUGCAAGUCGAGCGGGCAUCCUUGUGGUGUCAGCGGCAGACGGGUGAGUAACGCGUGGGAACGUGCCCUUCGGUUCGGAAUAACUCAGGGAAACUUGAGCUAAUACCGGAUACGUGCGAGAGCAGAAAGGUUUAUCUGCCGAAGGAUCGGCCCGCGCCUGAUUAGCUAGUUGGUGAGGUUACGGCUCACCAAGGCGACGAUCAGUAGCUGGUCUGAGAGGAUGAUCAGCCACACUGGGACUGAGACACGGCCCAGACUCCUACGGGAGGCAGCAGUGGGGAAUAUUGGACAAUGGGGGCAACCCUGAUCCAGCCAUGCCGCGUGAGUGAUGACGGCCUUAGGGUUGUAAAGCUCUUUUCUCCGGGACGAUAAUGACGGUACCGGAGGAAUAAGCCCCGGCUAACUUCGUG